CGGACGGGUGAGUAACGCGUGAGGAACCUACCUUGGAGAGGGGAAUAACACUCCGAAAGGAGUGCUAAUACCGCAUGAUGCAGUUGGGUCGCAUGGCUCUGACUGCCAAAGAUUUAUCGCUCUGAGAUGGCCUCGCGUCUGAUUAGCUAGUAGGCGGGGUAACGGCCCACCUAGGCGACGAUCAGUAGCCGGACUGAGAGGUUGACCGGCCACAUUGGGACUGAGACACGGCCCAGACUCCUACGGGAGGCAGCAGUGGGGAAUAUUGGGCAAUGGGCGCAAGCCUGACCCAGCAACGCCGCGUGAAGGAAGAAGGCUUUCGGGUUGUAAACUUCUUUUGUCGGGGACGAAACAAAUGACGGUACCCGACGAAUAAGCCACGGCUAACUACGUGCCAGCAGCCGCGGUAAUACGUAGGUGGCAAGCGUUAUCCGGAUUUACUGGGUGUAAAGGGCGUGUAGGCGGGAUUGCAAGUCAGAUGUGAAAACUGGGGGCUCAACCUCCAGCCUGCAUUUGAAACUGUAGUUCUUGAGUGCUGGAGAGGCAAUCGGAAUUCCGUGUGUAGCGGUGAAAUGCGU
rnacentral:rRNA from 1 species